rnacentral:rRNA from 1 species
GUGGGGAAUUUUGGACAAUGGGCGAAAGCCUGAUCCAGCCAUGCCGCGUGCAGGAUGAAGGCCUUCGGGUUGUAAACUGCUUUUGUACGGAACGAAAAGACUCCUUCUAAUAAAGGGGGUCCAUGACGGUACCGUAAGAAUAAGCACCGGCUAACUACGUGCCAGCAGCCGCGGUAAUACGUAGGGUGCAAGCGUUAAUCGGAAUUACUGGGCGUAAAGCGUGCGCAGGCGGUUAUAUAAGACAGAUGUGAAAUACCCGGGCUCAACCUGGGAACUGCAUUUGUGACUGUAUAGCUAGAGUACGGUAGAGGGGGAUGGAAUUCCGCGUGUAGCAGUGAAAUGCGUAGAUAUGCGGAGGAACACCGAUGGCGAAGGCAAUCCCCUGGACCUGUACUGACGCUCAUGCACGAAAGCGUGGGGAGCAAACAGGAUUAGAUACCCGAGUAGUCC